GCAAUGUGGGAACGUGCGCUGAAGGACUCCUCAGAACUAGCGAAGACUCCCGGCUGGGUUCAGCAGCUCAUCCCUGACCUCUACAAGGCUAUCGACGUCGACGGCGAUGGCUCUUUGAAGCUAAGGGAUUACGAAAACCUGUUCAAGGCUUUCGGCAGGCUGGACAACGUCGAACAUGUCUUCGACAGACUAGAUGCGAACAAAGACGGCCAGAUCUCGAGAACGGAGUGGAUUCUCCACUUCCAGGACUACCUGUUCAGCGAGGACCGAGAUCGGCGAGGCAACCUCAUCUGGGGGAACCUGGGGCAGGGCAGUUGGUAGCGACCCCAAGCGUCGAAGAAUAAAACUGCAGCUAGCGCUAAUGCUCGCUACGCCAUGCGUGUCACUAUGGAUACAUGGUUUCAAGAGCUGGCUAGCAGUGCUUUAUCAUACGAUUCCUAGCAUCCAAGACGAUAACUAUAGGUCUAAUGCUCGCUAAGGUUAUUAUGUGCACUUGCUUUAGUUAGCGAUGGUUUAGUGAUCUAGAGUGACUAAAAUGUAUUUAAGCCCCGUUAUGAACGGAUGUCCUCAAAUAAAGAGCGUCUCAUGAACUUACCUAUCAAAAUUCGUUCUGCAGUUCAGUAGAAACACGUGUGCUGCUACCAGUGCAAGCUUGGAUUGAUUAUGACACUACCUGGUGUAUUGAAGCAACCUGUCUCAGUUUGGUCUCAAAGAGACUGUUUUUGUGUUGCUGUUCAUCGUAUCCAGUAAAAGCGGAGACAAUCGUAAGUUCAGGUUCGGACAUUCGAUGAUAGACUGAGGCCUCAACUGACUUUAAAUCUAGCAAUACGGUAAGGAAUUACGAGUUCAAAUGGAAAAGUGCUGACCCAGCUAUUCUGAAAUAAAUGCCACAUACAGCAAGUAUAUGGCGAUGAGUGAGA